AUUCUUUCCACUGACAGAAACAGUGAGUCACUACUGUCCUGUGAUUGUUCCCUGGCCUUUUAGCAAAAGGCUGCCUGCAGGGAUGAAAGGAAAGUCCUUUCUCCAUGACCUACGCUGGGGGUUAGCAGCCUACCAAGCUCCAGCAAAACAUAACACGUGGGCUGAUUUUGAGCAGUGUAAAGCAGAGAACGAGGGCUGUGAGCCAUGGUAUCUUGAAGGACACAAGCUGGGAGAGAUGGUGACUCCCAGCUUCAGCCUCCCACUGUUUUUCCAGCAACAGCUGCCCCACGAUACCGCUGGUCGGAUGAUUGGCAGCAUGUUAUCGCCUCCCCCAGGCAGCAUAAGUAUUAAUCUCUGGUGAAGUAUGCCAGCGCUCGCCCCGGGUUGGCGUUACGCAGACCAGACCAGAUAAUGCCGGAGCAAGGACAGCAACGGGGCAGCAGCUUCUGACGAGGGCGAGAAAGCAGCCGUGAGACAGGAUGAGCGUUCGGGAUGGAGCAGGACAUGGGAGAACAUCGGUGCCAGAUUGAGUAUGUUAAGCAGCAUCUAGGUUGCCAGGUUCAGGCCGAGAGCAGGGCUCCUGGACACCAGCAAAACCAAAGGCUGAAGGUUCCACGUUAUGGUGUCGUACGUUGCCACCAAAUGUGCUGCCCCCGGAGCACAUGUACUGUGAUACGUGAGCAGCUGGGGACGCAGGAGCGAGCUGUGCAUGACAGUGCUGGUCUCCGAGGCGUUCAGCCCAAGCAGCGUGUCACUUAAAUCCACUGAAGUUAUUCGGAACAAACCCUUUUUUGAACAUUAGCAUACACUCAAAAGGGAAGAAAAAGCUUCUUUAGUGCCUGGCCUACUUUUACCCAACUGGUGGAAGUCAGUGCCAUGAAGAGUUUUGAAGAGGUCAACAUCUAGCGAUCUUCCUGUGCUGACCGUUGUUUUGCGUGACCCUCCCGAUGGACCUGUCCCAGGCCUCCUCUGUGUUCAAGAAAAUAAUUUUUCUAACAAAACUUUAGGCCUGCCACCAUCCUUGCUGUCAAACUAUGAGGGCUUUCGUGGGAUAUUACUGACCUGAUGCACUGUAGGAUGGAGCUUCCUAACACAGGAGAAGAACUGGCUGGUGACUUCCUUGAUUGAAAGCAAAACGUUAGUGGAAUGGAAUGCACAUCUGCCAACGAUGCUCUAGGUAUUAACAAGCAUUCUGUGCUCAAGAACAAAAAAAAUGCAUCCGUAUUGCUUUGAAAGAGGAAGAGAGAAAGAAGACCAAAAGUAUACCUUGCUGUUAAUGGACUGCUCUGAAGUAUAAACAUAGGCAGUAUAGAAUAGAGUAAGUCACCUGAAAAUUGUUUGCCAUAGUUGCCAUUGUUUUCCAUGGUUUCUACAACCAUGGAAAAAAACCACACAAUGUACUUGUUUUUCAGUUUUUACUUCCUCAAAGUGGUAAAAAUAGUACUCUUUUCAUCUACUUCAGAGGAGCGUUGUAAAGACAAAUAUCUUGAGUCUUGGCAACUGCUAAGAUCCUUCUGUGUGCAAAUAACCAUGGUGUGUCUUCAGAGGAAAUCUCUGUAAAGGCCUGUGAAAGGGUUUUAUCUUAUCUGACUGCGGUUCUCCUAUCGCACUGCCCAUGCUACCCCACCUUGCUGGCCACAAGGUACUUGCAGUGUUUUAUUAACUCUCUUUGUCUGCUUGACCAGUGUCUGUUUGCUGGUGCUUUUGUGCCAGAAGUUUCCGCCAAGGGCUGAGAUUGAUGCCUGCCAAGGGAAGGUGGAGGAUUGAAAGAGCAGUCCCUGGUGAGAUGACGUCCUUCUGAGCAGAAUGAAAUUCAGGAGUACCUUCUGCGGGGAAGUUGGGCUGAUUUAAGAGAAAAUGUGGGGAGAUGAAAAGCAGUCACCACUGCGUUACGGAAAUAGGAACAGAAGGGGAAUAGGAUGCAUUGAGUGGGAGGGAUAAAAUGUAAAAUAACAGGGUCAGUACUGUUAAAUCUCACAUGACCUUGUGUUUAACUAGGCACAUCAAAGGCUGUGUCUUCUCCAGAACGACAUGUGCUCCUUCCUUACCUCACUUGGUACUUAGCCUUUGCUUGCGAUGGUGAAUCAGACAGGUCACCGCAGUGCUUUGCUCUAGCUUGUCUUGCACAUAGCAGGACACCAAAUUGAUGGCUGCUCCUCGCCCUGAGACUCCGAGCUCCUCUUGGCUUUAGCACAGUGAGUUCCCUCUGAUCUGAACGUCUUCAGCUGUUGUCCUCUUUGCAGGGGGCCCUCAUGUUUGGCAGCCACUUCUGGAUCAGGCCCAUGCAACUGCUACUGCGGCUCGUCUUCUCCAGCUUAGCUCCAGGUUAUCGGAGUCUGAGGAUGAAGUCAAAGAUCUUUGAUCCUGACGAAGCCACAGUGCAUGUGACGAAUGUGUUGGCAGCUGAGAGGCAGAGGGACCAGGACAGGUUUCAUCAGAAAAGGGUUGAGCAGUAGAGAAGGAAAUUGUUUCAUGGCUAGUUCUGAGAGGAAAAACAGUCUCAAAAAAAAAUAUAUCUGUGGUUGAUUUAUAUUUCUAUUAUAGGCUUAUCCUGUUAGUUUGUUCUUGGAGAAGAGCUGUUCCCUGAGGUACGAUUUAUUCAUUUUAGAAACUCUCCUCCCCCAAGAAACUUGCAACAGUGGAAACAACAAAUGUUGGGACUGCGUUUGAAGGAGGAAUCUAGCAAAAGCGAUUGAGCAGCUGUAUUCAAGGCUGCAUGCAAUGGCUAACUCUCCUGGAGUGCAACCACUCAGCAUAAAUAGUUGAGGAAUGCUUGUUCCUCAAACAGGAGGAUUUUGAGAGUCAUAAUGGCUGUUUUAGAAGUUUCCCCAAAGCAGCAUUUCUCCCAGAUUCUGUUAAGGUGAUGUUUUGGUGAUGUUAAGGUGAUGAGUUGCAGAAAAAAAUAAUAAAAAGAGAAUUAUUCUCUAACGAUAAUCAGAUAUUUUGCUUUGGUUUUUAUUGCACGGGUGUCACGGUGAAGGUAGAGGAUGGUGAGUGUAGUGAGGGGCUGGACGGGCGCAGGAGACAUGAAAGACAAAGCUAGGCCGCGAGCUUGCAGAGCGCAGGAGACCUUCGCACCCAUGAAGACGCUGCUGCUGAUUCAGGCCUGUGGCUGUGUGCACACCCAAGAAAUACACAUGUGCUUAUAGAAAACAGAUUUAAAAGGUAAUCGUGAAAUUGCUUUAGAGCUCUGGAUGUGUUUGGAAGUUUGUGACUGGUUGUCAGUGAUGUCAUGACCAUAUUUAUUAUAGCUCAUAAAUGGAUGGGUCUGACUGUUUUCCUUAUUUUAAUGUAUAAAUUGCAGUUUAUAAUGGCAAUAAAACACUCCAGGCUGUGCA